UGUGGUGAUGAAAAUGGAUACUAAACAAAAGUGAUAUUUUGUUUAAGGAAAAUGAAAAAGACUGUAAAAGUUGAUGUAAAAUGUGAGUGAUUAAUUCCGUCAUCUGAAUAAUUGAGCUGAAUAAUUAAUAUAUUUAAAUUUUCAGACAAAACUUUUUUUAUGAAAUAGUCCCAAUUCUGAUCAAUCUUUGUCAUAUAAAUACACUUUUGAUGUGGAGAAAAAUCCUAUUAAGACUUUUUGUACUUGAAUGUAUUUAACUUUAGUUGAUGGAAUUGAUCAGAUUUUUUAUCAUCCUCCUGCAUUCUAUUGGUGAUAAGUUACUUGAGUUUUUGUAAGAGUAUAUAAGUACAUUAAAAAUGUAUACCAUGUCUACCUCUAUGUUAAAUGUUAAAUGUGCCAAUUGUGUUUUUGACAACAUGUAUACAUUAUAUUGAGCACAAAUGAAUGAGAAAACCUAUGUUUAUAAAUAUAACGUAAGCAAUCUCUAAUUGCUUAGUCCUGACUAAGAUUUUCAAAGGGAGAUAACUUGAGACCUUAUCCUUUUAUUAAUAUACCUGUUUUAGGGUAUAUUUUGCUUUUCCACUUGAAUAACAAUAUUUGGUAAGAGUGUUAAGAUGGUUCUACUCUAGAUUUGUAAUUUUUAAACUGGCAUGUUUAAGGUUGGAAUUUGUUAGUCAUUUUGAUUAAGAAGUAUGUGAUUCAAAUAGAUAAACCUGUUUACAGAGGCCAAUUUAGGGCGGGACAGGAGUUCUUCCUCAUCCUUAGUUUUAGGAGCUACAUAUAUUGUUAAAUGCAUAUACCUUUUAUAUAAUUUUCUCACUCCUAAUGAUGCAAUGAUUUGUCGCCCUCCCCCAAGUAUUCAAUAUUGACAUCUGUUUUAUAAGGCUAAUUGGAAACAUCUCAAUGGGGAUAUUCAAAAGACAUAUUUCGUAAAUAAUACUUUUAAAUUUGACUGCUCUACCCUGGUUAAACCAGUGGUAUGGCUACAUAACCAAUAAGUUGAUGUUUCAUGCAGACGACCUAGUCUAAAUUAUUGUGAUGUCUCUAUGUCCGUCUCUAUGUAUGAUGAAAUCAACAGAACAGUUUUGUAAGAGUUGCCAAAUUGCAAUGUUAAAAUGGUUGUUCGUUAAGUUUUUAUAAGGACAUUAUGACUGUCAAAUCCAAACUUCUGAUAAAAAUAGGGAAAAUUGAAAGAAGAUAAUAUUCCUUUGUAUUGAGAGAUGGAUAUAAUGUAUCUGUUGUAAAAUAUAAAAUCUGUGGCUGUUCUUGGAGCAUCUGUUGGCUUUGUCUAUCAUUAACUUAUUAUUCAUUGAAGUUGUUUAAUCAUUCCAUUCUAUUUAUAACUAUUCCAUUUUUAUGCAGCAUUGAAUUUUAUUUCUUGAGUAUUUUGUAGUCUAUGAUUUUACUAUGUUUUUUACUUUUUAAAAUGUAGAUAUGACUUGAGAAUUCAUUGAAAAUUACAUAAUGUAGAAUGUAAAGUAGAGAUCAUUUGUUUACAACAACAAAAAAUUAUGGUAUUUGGUGCUGUUGCUGUAAUAUGUCUGUUGAAAAAACAGAUUUGAAUGCAUCAAGUUUGUUCUUGUUUUGUAAUCUAUGUGAAAUUUUAACAUGGUGAUUUUUAGCACCGAAGCAAGGCUUGUUCUGAUUUUUGGACAAAUAACACUGUGGGCUCAAAGGACCAAACACAGUGAUUUUACUAGUUUUAAUGUUGAGCAUUUAUCUUUUCAUACAGUUUUUGUUUUGUCUUUUUCGUUAUGAUAAUACAUAUUUGAGGUAUAUCAUCAUAUCUAUUGUACUCUUUAUGAUCAAUCUCUAUAUGUAAAAAGAGCUUUUUUAAAAAAGGUUUUCAUUUAUAUUCUUAAUGACUGGUCAUGGCUGAGUUUUUCAAGCUGGUUUGUGGGAAAUGCACCUUAACAUGGCUAGAAGUUAUGUUUUUCAUCAUGUUUUGAAUGAAUUUGUUUAUUGAUUUUCUCUUGAAUCAGCAAUAUAUUAACAAAUUUUCACCAGUCAUUCCACUAGUAUAAUUGGUCAUUGUAAGAUGAUUCGAAUUCAAUCCAAAUGACUUUUUUGGGUUCACCUUUUAAACUGAUGAAAUAUAUCAGAACCUAAAUGAAAUAUGAUUGAAAGUUGAGGUAUUUUUAAAGCACCUUUAGAUAAAUAUCACAAACAGUUAUUGCCAAAACAAAUACAUAUAUAUAUAUAUAUAAUGUUUCCAGCAAUGUGCCAUUACCUUAUAUGUUCAUCUACAUAAUGUAGAACAAUAUCUCCGUGUAGCAUCACCACUGGAUAUAGGGACCCACGAAGCAGUGGAAAAAAAACCCAAGUAAGAUGUCAGGCAAGGUCAAAUCCUUUUUCAUUUUCAAUGUAUUCUAUAUUUUUCCAACAAGUAUUGUUUUUUAAUUCCUAAUAAUGUAGCUACUAUUUAAUGCUUUAUUGGCUUUCUCUCUCUUCAAGUCUUCAGAAUUGGACAGGGUGUUAAAUAUUCAAAGAAGCAUGUGGUGAGAUCAAACUAAUGCAAGACAUAUUUAUCCUUCAACUAUUCAUUUGAAGUUUUUGUAGAACAUAUUUGAGCUUGCAUUUUUUUUAUUAACACUGUAAUUUGAAACAACUAAUGUUUUCACAGAGAAAUUUAUGUAAAUGAAGCGGAUAAAUUGUAAAGUGAAUAGUUUUUUACUGUACACAUGGUACAGGGAAUAUAUACUUGUUUUUGAAACUCUUUAGGGAUAACCCUCUGGUGGUAAUGUUACAUAGUGACUUGAGUCUCAAAAAGUUGUGUACAAUUAAAUGUUUAUCAAUUUUAUGCAUCUUUAUGAUCUGUUUAUAGCUGUUUUUUGUUUUAAUCUGUGAUUAUAAUUUAUAUAUGCACAGGUGGUUGUUCUCAUUUAUAUCAUGU
rnacentral:lncRNA from 1 species